CGCGGAAGGGUUGUAGGACAGGAAAACGAUAUGGCAUUGGACUUAUGAGACGAACACAAGAACACUAAAAACAAAUGGUAGAUGUGAACCUAACGGUAUACCUGAAGCUGAUUACCACUUGAUGAGAACAAGGGUGGCCUGAUCUUCCGAAAGGUUCUUGUAACUCUCGAUUUGGUGGAGACGAGACACAAAUCGAACCGGCUUCCGAACAACACGAUCUGAAACCCUGCAUUUUUUUAUUUUUUUGAUAUUUUUGUUUUACUUAGGAGCACUAAAGAAGUAACCACAGAAAAUUGGAGCUUAAACAAGUGAAAGAUUUGGCCUUCAGAAUUUUCUGAAGAUUGCAAAAAAUGUGAAAAAACUUCACAAGGUGAAAACUCAAACUUUGGAGGUGAAUUUGGAGAUUAUAAAGUUUUCAAACCCGCAAAUUGCCAGGAUAGACAGAUCCAAAUUUUUUUUCUGAUCAAUUUUGAUAUAUGGAACAUUG
rnacentral:lncRNA from 1 species